AGAAAAUGAACACUCUCUGGGGCAGUACAAUAAAGAAGGUGUUGUUGUGCAUAUACUAUAUGAGUGUACAGUAUAUGUGUGUGGCCGAUGUGGGGUCGGGGCAUCACUCGAGUGGUAGGAGCCUGGUCAUGUGUUCAAAGCUGGAAACUUGUUGGCUCGAGAUCAAAACCAAGUGCCACACAAACAGGCACACACUUGUGCCUGCAUCAUUUCCUCCCACAGACAGAAACAGGUUCCACUUGCUGAUGUCAUCAGACCUCACCUUCUGGGCCACACCUUAGAACGCGUCUCUUGGCCUCACAGAUUUGUGGCACUGAUGCAACGCCGACAUCUCGGUUUUUUGUUGUCUCCAUAUCUGGCGUGAUCGUGAGCUCCGCCGCCUUUGUUAUUACUUUUGUACACAGCUACAAUGGCUUUAGUGUGGGCGUGUGUAGGAGGGGUGCAGAUGCUGGGGGGGGGGGGUAAUUUAGUGCCAGAAUUAAUAAAUAUUAAUUAUAUGUUUUCCCAACACCGGUAUCGCAGGAAACUGUAAUUAUGUAAAUGCUGAAAGAAAAAAAAAAAAAAACGCUAUAAGGCUAAUUACAGACUGGAGCACUUUGUUUUAUUAGAAACAAACACUUCCCUCAGCACCUAUGGAGUGUACAUGUGGUGCUCCGCACAGACCUGAAACUGUUUUAUUUAUGGGGACUUUCCACGCAGUCAGCCAGCAGCUGAGAUAACCGCCUAUAAGGUACGGUACACGGAGUGGAAGUAAAGCUUCACGCCACUGAUACUGACUCACGACAGGUACGACUUGACAAACCUGAUCGACAUUCUUCUCUAGGCCUCGUGCAAGCUUUGAGUUUGGUGGAAAACAAUCUGCGGAUGGAUGUGAGAGAGCGCCUUAAAAAAAAACUUUAAGCGUCCCUGGUUCCAUUUGUGCCUCAAGAACGUGCUGUACAUCGAGUAAAGUGAUCUAAAAUGUCUGAAAAACCUCGGACUGUUUAUUGUAGUCCAAAUAUCUACAAGGACGGUGAACGCAUUGAUUCAAAAAACAAGACUCUUUCUAUUAAUGUGUCAUCCGGGAGGUAGUUUAAGAUAAAAUUUAAAAAAAAAAGUGGUUCAACAUGAAGAAAUCCUGUAGAUUCUGAUUAGAUAAUAUGUCAGAAAAUA